rnacentral:rRNA from 1 species
GUCUACGGCCAUACCACCCUGAACACAUCCAGUCUCGUCUGAUGUCGGCAGCUAAGCAGGGUUGGGUCUGGUUAGUACUUGGAUGAGAGAAAUACUUACAGGAUAGUAAUACUUACAGGAACUUUAUGCUAUAUCAU